AGGCCAAGCCCACCUGCCUAAAAAUAACAGAUCAAGCGGACAGAAGGGAGCUUGCUCCCGGAUGUUAGCGGCGGACGGGUGAGUAACACGUGGGUAACCUGCCUGUAAGACUGGGAUAACUCCGGGAAACCGGAGCUAAUACCGGAUAGUUCCUUGAACCGCAUGGUUCAAGGAUGAAAGACGGUUUCGGCUGUCACUUACAGAUGGACCCGCGGCGCAUUAGCUAGUUGGUGAGGUAACGGCUCACCAAGGCGACGAUGCGUAGCCGACCUGAGAGGGUGAUCGGCCACACUGGGACUGAGACACGGCCCAGACUCCUACGGGAGGCAGCAGUAGGGAAUCUUCCGCAAUGGACGAAAGUCUGACGGAGCAACGCCGCGUGAGUGAUGAAGGUUUUCGGAUCGUAAAGCUCUGUUGUUAGGGAAGAACAAGUGCAAGAGUAACUGCUUGCACCUUGACGGUACCUAACCAGAAAGCCACGGCUAACUACGUGCCAGCAGCCGCGGUAAUACGUAGGUGGCAAGCGUUGUCCGGAAUUAUUGGGCGUAAAGGGCUCGCAGGCGGUUUCUUAAGUCUGAUGUGAAAGCCCCCGGCUCAACCGGGGAGGGUCAUUGGAAACUGGGAAACUUGAGUGCAGAAGAGGAGAGUGGAAUUCCACGUGUAGCGGUGAAAUGCGUAGAGAUGUGGAGGAACACCAGUGGCGAAGGCGACUCUCUGGUCUGUAACUGACGCUGAGGAGCGAAAGCGUGGGGAGCGAACAGGAUUAGAUACCCUGGUAGUCCACGCCGUAAACGAUGAGUGCUAAGUGUUAGGGGGUUUCCGCCCCUUAGUGCUGCAGCUAACGCAUUAAGCACUCCGCCUGGGGAGUACGGUCGCAAGACUGAAACUCAAAGGAAUUGACGGGGGCCCGCACAAGCGGUGGAGCAUGUGGUUUAAUUCGAAGCAACGCGAAGAAUCUUACCAGGUCUUGACAUCCUCUGACAACCCUAGAGAUAGGGCUUUUCCCUUCGGGGACAGAGUGACAGGUGGUGCAUGGUUGUCGUCAGCUCGUGUCGUGAGAAUGUUGGGUUAGU
rnacentral:rRNA from 1 species